UUGAACGCUGGCGGCAGGCCUAACACAUGCAAGUCGAGCGGAUGAAGGGAGCUUGCUCCUGGAUUCAGCGGCGGACGGGUGAGUAAUGCCUAGGAAUCUGCCUGGUAGUGGGGGAUAACGUCCGGAAACGGGCGCUAAUACCGCAUACGUCCUGAGGGAGAAAGUGGGGGAUCUUCGGACCUCACGCUAUCAGAUGAGCCUAGGUCGGAUUAGCUAGUUGGUGGGGUAAAGGCCUACCAAGGCGACGAUCCGUAACUGGUCUGAGAGGAUGAUCAGUCACACUGGAACUGAGACACGGUCCAGACUCCUACGGGGGGCAGCAGUGGGGAAUAUUGGACAAAGGGCGAAAGCCUGAUCCAGCCAUGCCGCGUGUGUGAAGAAGGUCUUCGGAUUGUAAAGCACUUUAAGUUGGGAGGAAGGGCAGUAAGUUAAUACCUUGCUGUUUUGACGUUACCAACAGAAUAAGCACCGGCUAACUUCGUG
rnacentral:rRNA from 1 species